UCCCUGCUGGCUCAGAGGUUAAAGCGUCUGCCUCCAAUGCGGGAGACCUGGGUUCGAUCUCUGGGUCGGGAA
rnacentral:tRNA from 1 species